AUCACUUCUCGGCCUUUUGGCUAAGAUCAAGUGAAGGGUCUAUUUAUUCUCACCCUUGUGGGUAUCAAGUAAUUAUCUUUAAGGAAAGAAAAAAAUUCUUGCCAACCUGUUGGACUAAAAAAGGGAAACUUGUUUUCAUUUGUGUGUUUGUGAAUACUGGUCAGCUUGCAAAUCUUUUCAUAUUAUUCACCAUAU